rnacentral:rRNA from 1 species
AACGAACGCUGGCGGCAUGCCUAACACAUGCAAGUCGAACGAGACCUUCGGGUCUAGUGGCGCACGGGUGCGUAACGCGUGGGAACCUGCCCUUAGGUUCGGAAUAACUCCCCGAAAGGGGUGCUAAUACCGGAUAAUGUCUUCGGACCAAAGAUUUAUCGCCUUUGGAUGGGCCCGCGUUGGAUUAGCUAGUUGGUAGGGUAAAAGCCUACCAAGGCGACGAUCCAUAGCUGGUCUGAGAGGAUGAUCAGCCACACUGGGACUGAGACACGGCCCAGACUCCUACGGGAGGCAGCAGUGGGGAAUAUUGGACAAGGGGCGAAAGCAUGAUCCAGCAAUGCCGCGUGAGUGAUGAAGGCCUUAGGGUUGAAAAGCUCUUUUACCCGGGAUGAUAAUGACAGUACCGGGAGAAUAAGCUCCGGCUAACGCCG